ensembl:lncRNA
ACUACAGACUCUGGUUGAGGUUUGCUGCUUGUUCCAAUUUGUUAGCUCCUCUGAAGAGAGACCGGGAGCUGGCAGAAGCCACAGAUGCUUUCCUGCAGGAGAAAGAACCAUCUUUCUGGUCGAGAUUCACUGAACAACCAGGGGGAGGCUGGAACAGAGACCUCCAGAGGACCCAUCCAACCCACGGCAGUCAGGAAAGCUUUUGAUGUUGAGAUUUGUGAAGCUGCCUGUGUGGGAAAAGCCUGGAAGGAACAUCCCCAUGACUACCAAAUCCAGCCUGAGCUCGGCAGGGGAAACCUUCUCACUGCUAGAAAGGUGCAGAUGUGAGCUCCUGGAAUAACACGUAAGCUAAAUCAUUUAACAUCAUGCAGAACUCAUCCUUCCCACUGCAUCAAUCCAUUUUCUCUUGGCAAAGGAGAAAUUGCAAUCUGCCAGCCAGGGAUGCCCAUGUCUUGUGAGCAGCAGAGGGGUUCCCAGGUGGAUCCCCAAAGAUGGAGACAAGUUGUGGGGGGAUAAAAUACAAAGACUACAACUGCUGCAAUAGUUCACAGGUCCAGUUUCAGAACUGAGAGGUUCUGCCCUGCAUUUUGCUAUGGGAUGGAUUCAUCUUGGAGACAGAUGUGAAAAGUUGAGGUAACCAGCUCAUAGUGAAGGAGUCAGAGUCCAGCUCACCACAGUCCCAUUGCAGUCAGCAGUGGUAUGCACAGAGGAACCCCAGUGUACCCUUCCAGCUUCCCAUAAACAGAGUUAGGGGAAAAAAAGGCCCAGUAGCAUUUCAGAGUGAGACUGAGCAGCAGCAGCCUGUGGGCAUCAAUUGGAAAAGAGUGAGGAUGAAAGAUGCAUGACCCAGAGGAGGAGAAGGAUAAAAUGUGUUCCUUCGGAUACGAAAUUGAUUGCAAACCUACUGCUGUGAAUAAAACAGAGCUGUUCUUCUCAUACAAUGGACAGCUCCUGUUGUUUGGAGCCUGAGCUUGUGUUUCACUGCAGCAAAAGUGGUUGGAAGCACCAGGAUGGUGCUGAACAUGGGGCAGCUUGGCUCAGUAACCAAAUGGGCUUUUGGAGAUGUACACAGCAGGUGUCCCUUGGAGAGCACUCCUGGAGUUGAGGGUGAGGGUAUGUAUGCAUGGUCAGUGUACCUGAUGUGUACAAACCAACCUGGCUAAAAUCCUCUGCCCCAGCAUUUUUUAUAGAAUACUUUGCCUCAGCUCAGUGAAAGCUAACCCCUUCCUGAGGGUCAGGCAUUCAUUGCAAAUCCUAUCAUGCUAGCAUCACUUCCACACUGCCCUGAUGCUUUCAGGACACAGAUCACAUGAUUUAGUGGGCAGUUACCAGCUGCGUGUGUAUGGGAUCACAUGCACUGCACUGAAACUACCAUGUGACACAUCCUGGGCUUGAUUAGGAACAAAUCAAUAUUCAUUGGGCUAACUGGGUUGUUAUUUUUCCACUGCUCCACUAAUAUAACAGCCUGACUGGACUGUGUGUCUCUUUCUGACUCAGGCAGAAACGGUCAGUUAAAAUAUGCAUAUUGGAGAAAUAUCCUUCACCUUGCAUCUCACAAGAGUACUAGAAUGCAUUUAGCCAGAGUGCCCCCAUCUGCACAAUCCUGUCCAUGCAGGGAGAGGUGGAGUUGGGGGUCUGCUGCUUUCAAGACGCUCAAAAUCCCUGUAUCUCUGCAAGGACAGCAAGAAUCGAUACAACUCUCCUAAAUCCCAUUUCUUAUUUAAUAUUUGUUUAAGAUAAAAAGAAUUUAAAGGGAAUGUAGAAAUUGCUAUCUCAUACCCAGGAAAAACCAUCUUUAAGAGAGUGAAACACCAGCUGAGAACUGCCAUCCUCUCUACAUCUUCCUUUCCUUUCAGCCAAGCCAUAUUUUUUGCUGUAUUGAUUUCCAUGAGCAGAGGGCAAAUGUUUUUUUUCCCCCUGCCCUUCAAAAUAGGGUCUGCUGUAACGUAGCAGGGAGCAAGGCCAUCUUAUGCUUUGCUUCGGAAGUUGCCCUGUGUGGCCCUGGAUGAUGAUAAAAGAUGGGGACCUUCUGCAGAACUGCUGAUGCACAGGUCCCAAAAACAUAUUAAUUAUAAUUCUGGGUGGUAGGAAAUUGUACGUGACACAAGUUCAGCCUGCACAUAAUUGCAUCUGCCCGCAUCUUACACUCAGGAGAAAGAAAUAAGCAGGCUGUUUCUGAGGUUUUCAAAAACGAGCUGCCUGAUACCCCUGGAAGCAGAAUAAAGUUACGUCUUUUUUCAUUGUUGGCAUUAUCAUAAAUAAUGUUCUGAGCCUGAAUCCAUUACUGAGUUGGAGAGGGACUCGUAGACCUUCGAAGGCAAUUAGGAUCAGCUGCAAAGGACAAUGUGUUCUUUUUUUAACAUGUAUCUGUACAGCAUUGUUACGGUGCCUGGAGAGAGAUGCUUGGGAACUGCUCCUCUCCAUGAAAACUUCUGAUUAAAAUAAUAGAAGAUUUUAGAUUUACCAAAUACAUUUUUUCCAGAGCCUUUGGGUUUUUCU